UAGGGAAUCUUCCACAAUGGACGCAAGUCUGAUGGAGCAACGCCGCGUGAGUGAAGAAGGUCUUCGGAUCGUAAAGCUCUGUUGUUGGUGAAGAAGGAUAGAGGCAGUAACUGGUCUUUAUUUGACGGUAAUCAACCAGAAAGUCACGGCUAACUACGUGCCAGCAGCCGCGGUAAUACGUAGGUGGCAAGCGUUGUCCGGAUUUAUUGGGCGUAAAGCGAGCGCAGGCGGAAUGAUAAGUCUGAUGUGAAAGCCCACGGCUCAACCGUGGAACUGCAUCGGAAACUGUCAUUCUUGAGUGCAGAAGAGGAGAGUGGAACUCCAUGUGUAGCGGUGGAAUGCGUAGAUAUAUGGAAGAACACCAGUGGCGAAGGCGGCUCUCUGGUCUGCAACUGACGCUGAGGCUCGAAAGCAUGGGUAGCGAACAGGAUUAGAUAC
rnacentral:rRNA from 1 species